rnacentral:tRNA from 1 species
GGUGGGGUUCCCGAGCGGCCAAAGGGAGCAGACUGUAAAUCUGCCGUCAUCGACUUCGAAGGUUCGAAUCCUUCCCCCAACACCA